ensembl:lncRNA
AUGUUUUUUUCCCCAUUUAAAAACUACUUUUUUCAGCCGCUGCUCCUUUUAUGUUCCAUAAAGUGUGUGAGUGUUUUUCCUCAAUGGGCAGGUGUAGAAGUUAGUGAUCUCUGCUGGUACCAAUCUACGUCCACACAGGUGUUCUUCCUGCAGUCGUCAACACACACACACACACACACACACACACACACACACACACACACACACUUAAGACAUGCGCGCACCGUCUGUCAUCACCUCUCUGUGCACGAGAUUAAUGGUGAAAUUGAAAUCACGUUAUGCAGCAACAUACUGUCCCAUCACACAAAGGAAAGAGGUCCACUAAAUAUCAAUGAAUUUCAAUGUACAGAAUCUUGUAGUUGCACAGGACAAUGUAAGUACACAGAGUUCAAAUCUGUUCAUCGAAACGUCUCUACGUGACCGACGUCUUUGAAGAUAAUCCAUCUGCCUCAUGUUUGAGCGAAGCUCGUGGGCACGAGUGCACUUGAACUUGAAGGAGGGAUCACCAUUAUAAAAAGUCUGGACUGUUGGCACCGUGUGAAGUUGUAUGUAGGAAUUGAAUGUAUUAUACAUAGUUCAUUCUGUACACACGGCAUCCAUUGUAGUCUGUCCAUCCCGGGAGUGGGAUCCCUCCUCUGACGUUCUCCCUAAGGUUUCUUCCUUUUGUUGCUGAGGGUUUUUUCAUUUUUUGGGGAGUUUUUCCUGUGCUGAUUUGAGGGUUUCGGGACAGAGGAUGUCGUAUGUGUACAGACUGUAAAGACCUCUGAGGCAAAUUUGUAAUUGGCGAUUUUGGGCUAUACAAAAUAAAAUUAAUUGAAUUGAAUUGUAGCAUGAAAUGUGUUUUGCUUGUUGAGUUUUAUCAACAACUCUGCAGUUCCUGUGAGCGCUACAGAUAUUCUUAGUCAGCUCAUUGUUUUGGUUUUUCAAAGUCAGCAUUACUGUGUUACAGACGAUUUGUCAUGUCCUCCGGUGCUUGACACCGACGUGCAAGUCGCCCUUUCGAUACACCUGACUUUCAAGUAACUGCAUUGUAGACCUGUCUGCGUCAUUGUUGGAUGCACAGACAAGAUUCUCCGGCAAACCAAUAAUUUAUUUUAAGGAAUUCACAGUUGAGACCAUGCUUAUCAGUCAGAAGAUCAGAACUACCAGGAGGUAUUUGAGAAACCAUUUUGAGAUUUUUGAUCUUUGUGAUGAGAAAGUAGAGCCGAAACUUUGAGAAGAGGUUUGCCAAAACACAGUGUUAAAUAAUUCCAGAGGACACAACAAUACACAGUCAAAGCACAUCGCAGGCUAAAGUAAACCAAGUGCAACUCCAUCCUUCUUCUCUCAGCCUGUUUCGAUGAAAGAGCGUCACCUGACAUAUUGCAGAUGAAAGAUUCACACCGGUGCACAUAUUUUCAACCCUGUUAUCAUCGACGGUUCAGAAGCCGCCGUAGAACAUGUUGUUGAGCAGAAGGCACCGUGAGGAUUCCAUGUCAAAUACCCCACUAACCACUGUCUUCAGCUCAUAUCCACUAACCACAAAUUACAAGCAACAUGGAAUAAAAUUGGGCUGAGAAAAAAAGUCAGUGCUUUCGUUUCCCGGGAUAACGUUAUAUUUUUUCUUUACGAACAACUAAGUAUUUUUCUUAGAUGGUCAUAAAAGUCACAUUAGUUUACAAUGUGUGUUGCAAUUUAAUUUUCAUUGGCCCUCACGUCACAAAAGAGUGCCAGCAUAUAAACAAACAAAUUCCCUCGUAACUUAUCCAAACACAUCAACAUCCAUUAUUGGUUGUGCAAGUAUUUUAAAUAAAAUUCAUGUUUGUUUGUAACUGCAAACUGUUUCCACCUCAUGGCUUUUAUUAAUAUAGCUGACUGAAUUACACUUCUGAUCAAAACAACAAACUCAGUUGAACCUGCAGGUGUUCUUCAGGAAAGGCUCAUUGUGACAUUGAACUCAAGCAGAAUAAACACUUAAGCUGGCGGAGCUGGACGUUCUCUAUAGGAUGGAGAGCGGCUGUAAGUCAAUUUUCUUAUCUGGUGUGGGAAAGAACUGGCCUCUUGGUCAUGAAUGUCAAAUAAGAAAGAUAAGAGGUCAAGUGAGAAACACAGCAGUUGCAAAACUUUAAACUACGUUACCAUAUUAUUUGAUGUACAUUGCCAACAUCUUUACCUUGCACUCUGGGUGAUUUUUCUUUUCAAACUUCCUGUCAUUUACAUGAGCUCACUGGAAGUGAAACAGCAACUUGAAAGUGAGUGGAAGUGAAGAGAAAGAGUUACUGGGAACUAAUGGGAGGGAAGAGAGGGGUUUAGAGAUCUGACAGCGGACACUUAUUCUCAUGUUGUUCACCACCCUCGCAGUGAAAAAUCAUUUGUGCAGCUUUGUAGCGGUCAUGUUUGCUCAAUGCUUUGGAUUCACUAAUUCAUUCUUAAAUUCUUAGUAGGAGCAGAAACAUCCAUGAAUGCACCACGCGAGGAGGGGUGGAGGGAAGGAUAGGUCAGGGAGUAUUAGAGUAUUUGGAGCCUUGAGAUGCUGGUAAGUGCAAUUGCUGUUGUUGAUGACCUGCCCUGCUAAUCCUCUCUAAAAGGCUUUGGGGAAUAUAAAAACGUUAAACCAAUUCUGUCUUUGUCUACAGUUUUAUGUCAUUUUAGCCAAAUAUCUCCAUCCUAGAUGGAUGGACUUAAGCAAGACUCCUCUACCACUCAGCCAUGGCCGUCAUAAUGGUCAUAACUUAGCAUUUCACAUGGCUUAAUAAAGCAGGUGAGAUUAGUGUGUCCUUCAGGACUCAUCAACAGCUGACAUUUAUUUGGGUGGGACAGAUUGAUCCUUUACCAUGUUCUGGUUUGCUGGAGGAAGCUGCCACAAAAAUGGACAAAAAUGAUAGAAAUCUGACCAUCCCCAUCAUGAAGGGUUGUUGGACUCUAAAUACUCACCGGACCCAGAAUUCAAAAAUAGACAAAGCUGUAUUAUUAUCAGCCGUCACGGAUAGUCUAACACUAUUCAGCUUCUGGGGGCUUAACACACACACACACACACACACACACACACACAGUGGAAGUAAUUAAAGCAAGUGGAGCUAAAUUGAAGUAUAUUGAACUCAUCUCUCACACGCUCCCACUCUGUCAAUAGAUCACUCGCCAAGUGCUAUCGACCGCUGCAAAGACUUCCCUCUAACACACGUGUGUGUGUGUGUGUGUGUGUGUGUGUGUGUGUGUGUGUGUGUGUGUGUGUGUGUGUGUGUGAAUGAUGUGAGAUGGGAAUGAUAGAAAGGGACACAGACUCUCUCUCCUUUUCUCAUAUCUUCUCGUCAGCUCUUCUCCCCUCUCAACCCUCCAGCCUCUGUUUUCUCCCUUCUCUCCAAAUCUCUUAAUUUUCCCUUUUUAUCUUGUGAGAGGAGUAAUGAUUUUAACUAAAUGAGAGUCUUGCACUUCCCUACCCGACUAGAUUAGCAGAUCAAUGGAACAGCGCGUGUGUGUCCAUCAUGGGGGAUGACUGUGUGUUUCUGAGUGUGUGUUUGUGAGAUUGUUAAGUUCACCACAGUCUGUAUAGUCAUCAUAAAUACCCAAUACCCCAGGUGACUCCGCACUGCACCGGGGACAAAGCCCUUGAGAUGGCAAACGACAAGAGCGGUCGACGGGAGAUUUUCCAGAAGCGACAGGGGAGCAGAAAGCUAUGGAUUUUUACCGAAUAAUCGGUAGAAAUUCUCCACUGGGUCUUGGCAUGACAAAUGUGUGUCAAACACACCAUCAAUGGCAGAGGAGAAGGCCUCUUCAGCUCUGUUGAAAGGCAUUUCCCCCCCUGCUUGAUGUGAAUUCAAUUGAUGUGGAAUUGAUUAUCUCCUAUUUGUGAUCAACCCUUAAUGCGUUUGCGUCCAGUGGCUGAGUCCUUCCACUAUGCGUAUGAGCUGCACCUCCUCUAACCAUAAGGUGACAUAAGGAGGAUUCAUGCUUCAACUGUGCAUCUAGUUAUUUGCAUAAAACAUAAUUUUUCUAUAUAUAUAUAUAUGUGAUUACAUUUAGAGUGAUGUGAGCAGGCAUCCCCAUAGAGUGAUGAACAGGUAUAAUUACGGGCAAACCAAUUACCGAUAUACAACCCCAAAUUCUAAAGACAUGUAUUUCUGUAAAUCUAAGAUAAAGCCUUUAUUGGUCUACUGCACCAUACAUACAGUAGUUAACAGAACAAAUUUCUUAAAUAACAUCUUAAAAUAUUGGUGCCGUGCCUAAUGUCGAAUGAAUCGCCUUUCCCCAUGACGCUGCAUGCUGAACAGGCCACUUGAGGAAGUGUCAUACGAGUGUAUUUGAAUAUGCUUAAAGGAACAGUAGGGAAAUCUUCAGAGGAAGUGUCCACCACUGACCUCAUUCGCUCGUAAUAACCACUGGUAUGGAAACAACUGAACUAAAGAAAUUAUGUAAAUUAAACUAUUUCAAAUGCAUUACGUAACAAAUCAUGUAUANNNNNNNNNNUGUGUGUGUGUGUGUGUGUGUGUGUGUGUGUGUGUGUGUGUGUGUGUGUGACAGCUUCAGCUGAGAAACUUUCUUGAAUGAAAUCCCAGAGAUGCUGGAGGAUUUUUCCUUUAAAGGCAAUACAUUAUCUGAUCUCAUUGUACAUAUUUUUGCUGCUCUUGUUGACAACAAGCAACUCUGCAUUACAGAUCCAGUGUGUGUAGAUGUAAUAUCAGAAAUAUACUCAUAAUCAACUGGAUUUCUUUACUUUAUAAUAAUCAUGAACAUGAACUGGUUGUUAAAUGAGGCCCCUGCACUCUUUACAUUUGCAAGCAUCCUUUUGCUGGUGCAUUUCUACAUUUCUUAUUCAUGUGUGGAACUGAUUGGAACUAAUUUGUUUACAACAUUUGCAAUAUCACACUCUGCAAGUACCUAGAAUGUGAAUGAGACAAAACAGAAACCUGCUUAAUAAAACAUUGCUACGUAAAGAACCGUCUCUGAGGCAGAUGUACAGUGUUGGGAGCGACUUAUAAAUAAUUGGAUACAAUGAUACGUCGCGUCCUGCAGAUUUCCAAUAAUCAGUCGCAUCGGUUUAGUCUCACCGCUAUUUAAUAUUGAUAUCAAGUGGCCUUAUUGAGCAAUGAAACCUUAGAGUAUUUGGCACGAAAACACAUACACACACCGACACACACACACACACACACACACACACACACACACACACACACACA